UUUGAUGGUAGCUGUACGUGGGGCGCCUUCGGGCGCGCCGGAUUGCUGAGUUUUCCGGUCUGCUAACCCGCGUGCAGUUGCCACCCCU
rnacentral:antisense_RNA from 1 species